UUUCCGUGGACUGCCUAUGAGAGGGGCACGGUAACCCAAUUAUAUAUUUACCUCCAGGGGGAGAUGUUGGAUGAAGUAUCUCCUGAGGUAAAGAUUUGAGUACACUUCACGUGGACCACCGCAUGAGAGUGAGACUCAACCAACGCCAAGGCAUGGCUAAAAUUUCGGAUGUAAAGACAUUUAACAGCCUUGGUAGAGUCGAUUGGGAUAACCCUCGAUCAAGGUAUCCCUGAUAACUGAGUAUGAGAAUGAUUUUUGGUACGAGCCAAGCUUUUCAGGAAAUCAUAAGCCUAGUUGUUUAUUUGGUUGAAAUGAGUUGAAAGGUAAUG
rnacentral:lncRNA from 1 species